GCGGGGGAUCGCAAGACCUCGCGCGAUAGGAGCGGCCGAUGUCAGAUUAGCUAGUUGGUGAGGUAAAGGCUCACCAAGGCGACGAUCUGUAGCGGGUCUGAGAGGACGGCCCGCCACACUGGAACUGAGACACGGUCCAGACUCCUACGGGAGGCAGCAGUGGGGAAUUUUGGACAAUGGGCGCAAGCCUGAUCCAGCCAUUCCGCGUGAGUGAAGAAGGCCUUCGGGUUGUAAAGCUCUUUCGGCAGGAACGAAACGCUCUGGGCUAAUACCCCGGGGUAAUGACGGUACCUGAAGAAGAAGCACCGGCUAACUACGUGCCAGCAGCCGCGGUAAUACGUAGGGUGCGAGCGUUAAUCGGAAUUACUGGGCGUAAAGCGUGCGCAGGCGGUUUUGUAAGACAGAUGUGAAAUCCCCGGGCUUAACCUGGGAACUGCGUUUGUGACUG
rnacentral:rRNA from 1 species